GACGUAGGGCGCGAGCGUUGUCCGGAUUUAUUGGGCGUAAAGGGCGCGUAGGCGGCCUUCUAAGUCAGACGUGAAAUCCCCCCGGCUUAACCUGGGAACUGCGUCUGAUACUGGGGAGGCUUGAGUAUGGGAGAGGGAUGUAGAAUUCCAGGUGUAGCGGUGAAAUGCGUAGAUAUCUGGAGGAAUACCGGUGGCGAAGGCGGCAUCCUGGGACCAUAACUGACGCUGAGGCGCGAAAAGCUAGGGGAGCAAACGGGG
rnacentral:rRNA from 1 species